rnacentral:rRNA from 1 species
UACGAAGGGUGCAAGCGUUACUCGGAAUUACUGGGCGUAAAGGGUGCGUAGGUGGUUUGUUAAGUCUGCUGUGAAAUCCCCGGGCUUAACCUGGGAACUGCAUUUGUGACUGGCAAGCUAGAGUAUGGCAGAGGGGGGUAGAAUUCCACGUGUAGCAGUGAAAUGCGUAGAGAUGUGGAGGAAUACCGAUGGCGAAGGCAGCCCCCUGGGCCAAUACUGACGCUCAUGCACGAAAGCGUGGGGAGCAAACAGG